rnacentral:lncRNA from 1 species
UGCACAUGAGGUACAAUUUGAUUCUGAGGAUAAAUUUGAUCAAAUAUAUGAUUCGAGAAAUUAUGAGAGAUUGAAUUCGAGUCCUAGUUAUUUUAGAUCAAAUGUAAAUUUAAUUAGACUUGAUUUUAUUAAAGUAAAAUUUGGUUAAAUAUCGAAGUUGGACUUGAACCUAAAUCUUAAUAGAUUAGGUUAGCAGUCUUUUCAAAUUUGAUUCGAAUCGGAUUUAAAUUGGAUUCGAAUUGAGACCAAACUUGAACUAAAUCAGAUUUGGUACACUUAGCCAUGAUUAAUAGAUAAUCUCUCACCUAUUGGGCUGACCA